CGCCUCAGGAAACGGCGGCCCGCUCCUCCGUCUCCGCCUGCUUUCCCGUGACGACGCCCUUCCUUUCCCCCUCGCAUUAAUGGCCGCCUCCCCUCCCUAUCCCCUUCGUCGUCGCGCCCCAGGACUCUCCCCUCCUCCUCCUGCUCCUGCUGCUUGACCCACAAGGCUUCUCCCUCCUCCUCCUCCCCUUGGGGCUGGGCGCCUGCUGCUGCUGCUAUAUAUACGCGCGCGCGCGACCCCGAUCAAUUCGUAGUCGUAGCAUGCUCGGUUCCCGCUCUCGGAUUGACCGAGCACGGACGCCGUCGCGAUGGAUUCGGGGCCUUCUUCCUCCUCUCCCUGGGCCUCCGCCGCCGGCACUCCCUGCUGCCGUUUUGACGCGCUGCGGAGGACUGCGCCAGCCACGCCGCCGCCGCCGCGGGGGCCGCCGGCUGGGCGCUCGCCGCGCUGCUCACCUGCGUCUUCGCCGUCGUGGGCUCACUCGUCGGGAUCUUCAUUGGCGCAUUCAUGGGGAUGUCCACGGAAAGCGGCAUGCUCCGCGGGGCUGGAGUCGGAGCAGUCUCCGGUGCAGUUUUCUCCAUCGAGGCUGUUGAAUCCUGCAUCGAGAUUUGGAGGUCCAGCCAUUCAGGAAAAUACAGCAUUCUCUUUGUGCUGGACAUCAUAUCUAGCCUCUUCAGUGGAAGAAUUGUGUGGGAAAAAGUCAGUCCAGCACUGCAGCGUGCAGUACAAAGCCAGAUGAGUCUACUGAGCACACCAUUCAUGGACAACAAUGACCUUUUCGAAACUGGCAGCACAGGAGGCAUGUCAAGGGAAUUGAUUGACAGGAUCCCAAAGAUGAGGUUUGUUGCUGCAAGCAACUGCAAUCAGGAAACUGAUAGCAGCUGCUGUUCAGUCUGCCUUCAGGAUUUUGGAGCGCAACAAUUUGUGAGGGCCCUGCCUCAGUGCCAACACGUAUUCCAUGUACGUUGCAUCGACAAUUGGCUCCUUAGACAGGCAUCUUGCCCACUAUGUCGGUCCGGUGUUCAUAUAGACGAUAUACAUAUGUAAAUAAACUCGCAGAGUGGCACCUGGUGUAUUUUCAUAGUGAAUACCCGUGCUCCUGUUUGAUAUCAUAAAUAUAGUUGUAUACAUAGGUUUUCUCUUUUUUGUUACUUCUGCAGUCGUAUGUGGUGCUAUGCUUUCAGCUGCACGUUUUUGUCAAAGUAAUAACAUGAUAUGUACAUCUCGAAAAUGGACCAACUAACAAGCUCCCUGAAUUAUGCCCUUGUCCGGUUGUGCCUCAA